rnacentral:rRNA from 1 species
UACGAAGGGGGCGAGCGUUGUUCGGAUUUACUGGGCGUAAAGGGCGCGCAGGCGGCUCAUUUUGUCAGGCGUGAAAGCCCCGGGCUUAACCUGGGAACUGCGUUUGAUACGGAUGGGCUAGAGUUCGGGAGAGGAGAGUGGAAUUCCCAGUGUAGAGGUGAAAUUCGUAGAUAUUGGGAAGAACACCGGUGGCGAAAGCGGCGCACUGGACCAUAACUGACGCUGAUGCGCGAAAGCUAGGGGAGCAAACAGG